AUUGAACGCUGGCGGCAGGCUUAACACAUGCAAGUCGAACGAGUGGCGGACGGGUGAGUAAUGUUUGGGAAUCUGGCUUAUGGAGGGGGAUAACUACGGGAAACUGUAGCUAAUACCGCAUAACAUAGGAUGAGCCCAAGUGGGAUUAGGUAGUUGGUGAGGUAAAGGCUCCACAAGGCGACGAUCUCUAGCUGGUCUGAGAGGAUGACCAGCCACACUGGGACUGAGACACGGCCCAGACUCCGAAGGGAGGCAGCAGUGGGGAAUAUUGCGCAAUGGGGGCAAGCUGAUGCAGCCAUGCCGCGGGUAUGAAGAAGGCCUUCGGGUUGUAAAGUACUUUCGGUAGGGAGGCGUUACCUACAGAAGAAGCACCGGCUAACUCCGUGCCAGCCGCCGCGGUAAUAC
rnacentral:rRNA from 1 species